AGCGAACUCAGGUGCCAAAGCAGAACGUGCAAACUUAACCCCUGCACCACCGGGCCUGCACUUUUACCUUUUUUCUCAUGCCACUGAGAUGAGUCCUUGUCCCAUUUCUGCCCGGAGCCAUCCUAUGGCCUGCUGACCUUUCUUCACAGUGGAAUGGGAAACUCUCAGACCAUCCAGGGGCCUGGACUUGCACUGUGAUAACGUUUCAUUAUACGCUCCUGGAGGGAGGCAGUUAACGCUAAGGGCUAAAAAUCCACUGCCAUUGGAGGAUCAGCCAGAAAAGGGUCGAGAGACCUGGAGUUUAGUCCUGUUUCUCUUUUAGAGUCAUCUACCCUCCCCGGCCUCUUCCCGGUUGGAAGAGGGACGAGCCGGAUCCGAUGGAGACGCCAACAUUCCCGCGCGACUCUGCAGAAAGCGCAUUACGCGGUGGGAAAGUAGCAUUCGCCUCGCUAAAACCCAUUUCACAAUGUCUUUUGCAUCAAAAAGGUUUUCAAAGAUUUUCUUCCCAGACCACAUAUUUUCUCACAGAUCCUGAACGUUUCACGCUCUAUUCUUCUUCCUGUGUUGACAGCAGGAGGAAGCACAUCCGCUGGGGCGGGCGCAGCGCUGGCCCCUUCUCUCCCGCUCCUCUGGGCUUGUUUGUUGAUGAAGCGGGAGCCGAGCCAGAGCAGCCGGCAGCUGCAGACGCGAGGAGGGGCGGCCGCAGAGCUGCUCGGCUGGCCCUGCGGGAGCCUCGCUGACAAACGCAUCGGCUGCUUCGGGAAAAGAAACUGUUGACCGGAACACACUUCAGUGGGCGACCAUCACCUUCCUCUCCAGGGUCUGGGGACCACUGCUCAGAACUGGUCUUAAUGAUCUCAGCCUUCCGUUGGGGCCUAGGAGCCACCUGGUGGACCAAGGGACAGCCUGCAAUGGCUUUCUUCCUAGACAGAAACGCCGCUAGGUCACCACUCAUGUUAUAUAGUCAGAAGCCUUGCUUUAAAAAUUAGAUUGCAAAGUAGAGUGUAUCUCAUAUGAUUAAACAUGGUUUUUUCCCCAAUCGUUUUUGUGAGUUUAUUACAAAUGGACUAAUUUUGCUGUAAGCAAAAUGUCUUUUAUUAUGCUGACAAUGUAUAAACAGAGAUUAAAGGUUUUUCCCUGAGAAUAGUUGUUUGAAAUACCAACAUGGAAGAAUGACGAGUAGUUUCACUGAUGGCCGUGCUGUUUGCAGCGGCCCCCUCUGAAGCGAGGAGUCUGGGUAAGGACUUUCCCCCAGUAGAGAUGUUGUAACAAUUACACUGAAUUCAGGAGACUUCCUUUAAAUAAGCAAAUGUUUCCAGUAACAACGGAAUGUAAACCUGACUCCAGUUAGUAGAUUUGCUACUAUCUCUUUCCUAUCUGUGAUUUUAGCUGCGUUCAGCUAAAAGAGUAAAAUUUCUCUAUCUUCCUAAUGACUCAUCUCCAAUUAAAUUAUUUACAAUGAAUUCCCAGGCCUUUAGGGUUUAUCAGCGAAUUUUAAAACGUUGACUAACAUUCUGCAAACAGUAUAUUUAAGCCCCACAGGUAGGAUAGUGCCCCCAGAAAUUUAGCUCAUAACCACGAUCAUGGGUCAUGUUCCCUGUGUUGCCGUCUGGGGGCUGCAUGUGGGAAAACCAUGCCGAUCAAUGUAACCUUUGGAUUUCUUUGAAAGGAAACAGGCUGCACGCACUACAGGGAGAGAACAAAGAGAAAGAUGGAGGAAUACAGGUGUCCAUGCAAGAUCAUGGCCACUCUGGACCAACAGCUCAAAGUGUGUGUGUGGUGAUUAAUUUUACGUGUCAACUGGAGGGUAGUUUUGGAUGAGAUUAGCAUUUAAAUUGGUGAAUUUUGAGUAAAGCAGAUUCCUCUCCUGAAUGUGGGUGGGCCUCAUCCAAUCGGUUGAAGGCCUGAAUAGAACAAAAAGACGUGACUCCCUAAGCAAGAGGGGCUCUCCAGCAGACUGCCUUUGGACCUCAUCUGCACCACCAGCUCUCCUGGCCCUUCAGCCUGCCAGCCCACACUGCAGAUUUUGGAUUCGCCAGCCUCCAUAGUUGUGUGAGCCAGUUCCUUAUAAUAAAUCUCUUUCUGUACA